AGCGAACGCUGGCGGCAGGCCUAACACAUGCAAGUCGAACGAACUGUUCGGGGUUAGUGGCGGACGGGGGGGCAAACCGUGGGAUAGUGCCUUUAGGUUCGGAAUAACACAGGGAGAUUUGAGCUAAUAACGGAGGUGACCUCCGGGGGAUAGAUUUGUCGCCUUUAGAGCGGGCCGCGUCUUAUUAGCUAGUUGGUGAGGUAAAGGCUCACCAAGGCGAGGAUCAGUAGCUGGUCUGUGAGGAGGAACAGCGACACUGGGACUGAGACACGGCCCCAACUCCUGGGAGAGGCAGCGAUGGGUGAUCAUGCGCAAUAGGCGAAAGGCUGACGCAGCCAGGCCGCGAUAAUGAUGUAGGUCUUAUGAUUGUAAAAUUCUUUCACCGGAGAUUAUUGUGACGGUACCCGGAGAAGAAGCCCCGGCUAACUUCGUG
rnacentral:rRNA from 1 species